rnacentral:rRNA from 1 species
CCUACGGGAGGCAGCAGUGAGGAAUAUUGGUCAAUGGGCGGGAGCCUGAACCAGCCAAGCCGCGUGAGGGAAGAAGGUACAGCGUAUCGUAAACCUCUUUUGUCAGGGAACAAAGGCGGGGACUAGUCCCCGGAUGAGGGUACCUGAAGAAAAAGCAUCGGCUAACUCCGUGCUAGCAGCCGCGGUAAUACGGGGGAUGCGAGCGUUAUCCGGGUUUAUGGGGUGUAAAGGGUGCGCAGGCGGCCUGUUAAGUCAGCGGUAAAAGCCCGGGGCUCAACCCCGGCGAGCCGUUGAAACUGGCGGGCUGGAGUUGGAGAGAAGUACGCGGAAUGCGCGGUGUAGCGGUGAAAUGCUUAGAUAUCGCGCAGAACCCCGAUUGCGAAGGCAGCGUACCGGCUCCACACUGACGCUGAGGCACGAAAGCGUGGGUAUCGAACAGGAUUAGAUACCCUUGUAGUC